rnacentral:lncRNA from 1 species
UUGGGGAUUAUUCGUGAUGGAAAUUUCUCACACAGCCAGCUAUUCUGGUUUGAUUCUUUGCUAGACGACUCAAAUGAAUAAUUUGCUUCUGGAGAUCUGGUGGUAAUGGAAAGGUGAAAACAUCUUAAAAUAUAUGGUUGCAUACAUUAUGGUAAUAAUAUAUCCAACAUGGUUCAUACCUGCUAUGUUGAGCGGUUGCCAAGAUCAAAGAUGACAGCAGAGUUAAGACUUUAAUACUGUUUGAAACUGAUAAUAACUGUCUCGAGGAGUUAUGUAUCAUUAGAUAUAAGUGUAAUGAUAGCUGUCAUGUUGGAAGUAUGUAGUUUGGUACUGUAGGGAGUUGUAUGUCGUAAUUUAUGUUUGGACAGAGAAUAGUUUCUAUAGGAGUCAUAAGACACCCUUUGAUGCAUUGUGUGAAUUCUGUGGUUCAGUAAUAAAAAAACCACCAAUUUGUGAUGUGAUGUGGUGAGGACAGCCUCUAUUGGGGAUUAUUCGUGAUGGAAAUUUCUCACACAGCCAGCUAUUCUGGUUUGAUUCUUUGCUAGACGACUCAAAUGAAUAAUUUGCUUAUGGUGAUCUGGUGGUAAUGGAAAGGUGAAAACAUCUUAAAAUAUAUGGUUGCAUACAUUAUGGUAAUAAUAUAUCCAACAUGGUUCAUACCUGCUAUGUUGAGCGGUUGCCAAGAUCAAAGAUGACAGCAGAGUUAAGACUUUAAUACUGUUUGAAACUGAUAAUAACUGUCUCGAGGAGUUAUGUAUCAUUAGAUAUAAGUGUAAUGAUAGCUGUCAUGUUGGAAGUAUGUAGUUUGGUACUGUAGGGAGUUGUGUGUCGUAAUUUAUGUUUGGACAGAGAAUAGUUUCUAUAGGAGUCAUAAGACACCCUUUGAUGCAUUGUGUGAAU